ensembl:lncRNA
GUGCGUUGUCCUAUUAAACAAAUUAUGAUUUAAUAAUCAAAGCUCAAUGAUGUCAUCACCUGUGCGUUGUCCUAUUAAACAAAUUUUGAUUUAAUAAUCAAAGCUCGAUGAUUUCAUCACCUGUGUGUUGUCCUAUUAAAUAAAUUAUGGUUUAAUAUAUAUAUUUUAUUUAUUUAACCUUUAUUUAACUAGGCAUGUCAGUUAAGAACAAAUUCAGGGGCAGAACGACAGAUAUUUACCUUGUCAGCUCGGGGAUUCCAUCUAGCAACCUUUCGGUUACUGGCCCAACGAACUAACCACUAGGCUACCUAUUAAACAAAUAUUAAAUCAACCUCAAUUAUAAAAAUAAAAACAACAGGGCUGAGAUUCACAUGGACAAGGCUGCCAUUUACAAUCCUUAUAUGAACACAAUCCAUACAAACAUGCACACUAACAACACAAUCCCUCUUUCUCAUACAGUAGGCUUUUUUGCACUUAAAAUGUUACUGACCAGUGAUCCCUGUGUAUUUGGUGAUGAUGGCAAAAAAUCUUGGGUUGUUCUGACGUGUGAUAACAGAAGAGAAAUGAGAGACUUAAAAGUUGCUGUAGAAAUAUUUCUCCCUCUACAAUGUGUACCUCUAUCUGUGAUCCUCUGCCAGUCGGGAUGGGACCUUGUGGUCUUUAAUGCUAGUGUCUAUUUCAUUGUAUGAUUAUCUGUUCUGCUAAGAUUAACUUCAUUCUCCUGUUAAGCAAUAUAGCAUUCACAUUACUUGGCACCAUUGGCAAAAGAUUCUUGGUAGCCCAAAAAAAAAUGUAAACAUAAACAUACUUGUCUUAAGAUCAUUUUGCAGAUUUCUCCUAACUCUAAAUACGUUAUCUUUUUUAAAAGUUUUUAGCAUUUGCAAUGUCAUGCUUUCGCAAAAUGUUUAUCCCAAGAACAAUCAAAAUAAAAUAAAAUACUCUUAUAGUGAAAUACUUUUAAUAAUUUUACAGAGCAUAGCCACUACUGCUUUUGUUGAGUUUUUUUAACCUUUGUUCAUGUUUUUCAUGCACAUAGCUCAUUUUUGUCCCAGGUAUUUACACUAUAUACAAACAAUACAACCAUACUUCUUAGGCAUUCAAACAAAACUAUACAAAUAUUCUGUUUUUGUCUCAUACCUGUUUUUGACCCCUUUUUAAUGAAUAAAAUAAUAUAUUUCUAAAAUACAAUCCCCUUUGGGUAAAUGUUUUUCCCUACCUUCAGCCUUCUUUAUAUACAGAAACUGCUCAAUUGUCAAAAAUAUGGAUUUGUCUAACCCCUUUUUUGGGACUAGCUUAGGGACCCCUCAAAGAAUCUCUAAGACGUCAAGGCAAUGUAUGUGAUCUUCCCCUCAAAAGCCCUCACAGGCCCUGAAGUUCAUUUAAAAUGUAUGUGAUCUUCCCCUCAAAAGCCCUCACAGGCCCUGAAGUUCAUUUAAAAUGUAUGUGAUCUUCCCCUCAAAAGCCCUCACAGGCCCUGAAGUUCAUUUAAAAUGUAUGUGAUCUUCCCCUCAAAAGCCCUCACAGGCCCUGAAGUUCAUUUAAAAAGAACAACAAUAACCUUCAUGACUGUAAUCAUUACAACACAAAAGAGGCAAGUUUUCUUUUCUUUUUAGAAUAGUGAGGAAACAAAUGAAAUAAGGCGACAGAAAAAGGAAAGAUGAGGAUGUAGGUAUAAUCUCAGGAACUAGAUGGUAUGACUCUUGGGAGAAUAGGUUGGUACAUGGGCCACUCAGUUGCAUUUGAACAUGAAGACAAAAGCAAAACAUUGAAAUUCAGAGAAUACAGACCUAACUUCCAGCACACAGGUGAAGACUUUCACCCAUAGGCAUGCAUAUUUGAUCAAAUCGACAACACAAGAGUUUUGAAGAGACAAGUCAGUUGUAAAUCGGUCAUGGGCAUGAGCACAAAACAGAUUCAAGCAAAGAGGAAUAGAAAAGAGAAUAAAAUAAUAAUAUAAAAAAUAAGAAGAAGAAUUGUAAUUCCAUUGAAUCCCCCUAUCCCUUGCCUUACAGUACAUAACCCCUCCAAACCUAGAUAACA